rnacentral:lncRNA from 1 species
GAGAGGAAUCACAUGAGCAGAGGGGAGGAGCAGAAGUAGAAGGACAAGCAGACUCUGCUGAACACAGAGCCUGACAGGGGCUCCAUCUCACAUCCUGAAAUCAUGACCUGAAAAUUAAGGGUCAAUGAUUAACUGAAUGAGCCACCCAGGAGCACCCAGAAGCUUAAUAUUCUAGGAUGCCGCAAGUUCAACUUCAAUACAUUGAGUUUCAUCUUUCUUCCUUCGGGAAUAAAUUAUUUUGGCCCUGCUAAGGAGGUUUUGAGCAAUGUUUCAAUAUUUAAGACUGCCUAAUGCUUUUAAAAUGUUAAACGGUUGCACUAGGGAUUAUCUCAAAAGACCCAAGAGACAGUAAAUACAGCUUAGAAAGCAUUGGAGUGGCAAAAAAGAAGAGACCUUGGGUGCUCCCUAACUGUGUGACAUGUGACAUGGACAUGCUCUGGUGAAGUCAGGAGAAGGGAUGGUUUUGCUUCUCUCUGAGCUGUGGAGAUGAAGAACAUGCGGGACUCCUGUGUAUGUUCAGCCCACUGAAUGGUUCCCGAGAGAUUCAAGACAAACGUCUCUGAUCAAGUGCUACUUGGAAGACCUGUGAGGCAAGACUGUGAGAUCCUGGAAAGGAGCUUCAGCAAUUUCUGCCACAAUGAUGAGCAAAGCAGCAGAUUCUUUGAAGAAUAUGUGCUGAGAUCUGGGAUCCCCCUGAGCAGCGUAGAUGUGAGACUGGAGAAGCUGUGCUCCCUGAUAUGGAGAUGCCUAGCCCUGGCUGAGUGGAACAGUGGCCUUGCAGUUCCAAGGCUGGGACUUCCAGGAGCAGAGAGGCUUAGCUCACUCCAGGAGCCUCAGCAGACAUGGAGACCACUCUGCUUCUCCUCUCCUAGCACAGGGGGAGACUGUGUCAUCUCCUUUUUGACAAAGGGGGAUUCCAGAAGUGGUACCUGAGUCACAGGAUUCUGGCAGAGAGACAAACCAUUCCAGGCACCCAAUACCCAAAAGGAGGAAGACUAGGAAAUACAUAAAGAAUGCAAGUGGACAACGAAUUUCAGAUAAAGACUUAAAGCCUUAAAUGAAAGAUAGAUUAGAGACUUAAAUGAUCUACUCAGCAAAUUUACUGGGAAGCUACCAGAACUUCAUCAUUAGCCCUGGCAUGGGCUGCUUCUAAUGCCCCAGGAAUUGCCCCAGCUAUGUGUCCAUGAGGUCAUCAGUUCUCAAAAAUUUGCAAAACCAAGUUAUUUUAAGAACCAACAGCUGAGACCGCUGUCUCUUCUUGCCUAGAGCAAUCGGCCUUCCUUGUAGGCCCUGGGACUGAGAGAGCUCCUGGGCCAUGGGAUGUUCAGUACUUAAAAUCAGCAAAGUCCUUGGCAAGCUGAGGUAAGUCGCUCAUCCUACUUUCCAUUCUUCCCACGUCUCUCUCAUCAGAUGGCCCUGGAAAAAAUAUAGGGCCUAUGGGGUCUGGCAGAGGGGAGGCUGAAUAAGGGAUGUAUUUCAUUUUGGCCUGGUGGGAUAGAUGCCUGGGAUUUGUAAUUUGUAAUUUUGCAUUAAGUUAUUGGUAAGUGUUGCAGAACAUCAGCCUCCAGGGUGCUAGCACUGACCCACUCAACAUUCUCUCACCAAGACACAGGACCUUGGCUCAUGCCACGUUAUUACCAUGUCCUACUGCUCCUGGCACCAGAACAGGGGUCUUGGGGGAGAAACAAGGUUUGCAACAUAUGGGGCCAGAAUUCAAUGUGUGGAAAGGUCAUUUUACCAAUACAAAGGCAUCAUCUGUUUUUUCUUUGUUUCUGAGAAUUCAGUGAAAUGUGGUUUUUCAGAUUUCCUGUGUGAAAGGUACAAUUGUGUAGUGGUUUUAUAGUGAAUGUGUUUGUGUCUGAAUUCAUGUGGGUUGUACAUCCUAACUAUCAAGAAUAAAACAAUGUUUGAUCAACUCUACUAAAGGAAAGGUUAACCUUUCUUUUUAUUUCCUCUAUGGAAGAUAUCAUAUAAUUGCAACUAGGAUAGUGAGGUGAUCAAAAGAAUAUGAAGCCAAAAAAUGUAGGAAAAUAAAAACACUACAGACAUGUAUUAACCAGUCAUUUUAUUAAAAAUAUUAUGCCAUCUUUCUGAUUAGGGGCAUAUUUGAGAUAUUUGUUAACAUUAAUUUUUUAUGAUUUUUCACACUUUGGACAAAUAUUCACUCUUAUACCAAAUUUUGUGCCUAUGUUUGCAUUUUUCAUAAAAGGUCUUUGGAUAAAAAAAAUUAUAUGAAUUGUAUUCCUUAGCCCUAGAUCUUCCUUUGAAAGAAAUGUAUAAAAAUCCUACAAGAACAGAUAGGAAUAUAUAUAUAUAUAUGUAUACACACACACACACACACACACACACACAUUUAAAGUGGUGGGGUCCUUAGGCAAUAUAGAGUCCUACAAAGCAUUAAAAAAAGAGAGAUAAGCGGGCAGCCUGGGUGGCUCAGCGGUUUGGCGCCUGCCUUUGGCCCAGGGCAUGAUCCUGGAGACCCAGGAUCGAGUCCUGCAUUGGGCUCCCUGCAUGGGGCCAGCUUCUCCCUCUGCCUGUGUCUCUGCCUCUCUCUCUUUCUCUCUGUGUCUGUCAUGAAUAAAUAAAUAAAAUCUUUAAAAAAAAGAGAGAUAAGCAAAUUUCACUCUAUAAGUAUUAAAUAAAAACUUUUGCAUGGGAAAAGAUGACUUCAAUAAAGGCAAUAGAAAAUCAUAGAUUUUGAAACAUGUUUGCAACUCAGCACAGAGAAUGUUAUCAUCUAAACUGCACAAGGAGAUCUUAAAAUCGGUAAGAGAAUGCACAAACCACUUGAAAAUAAAUAACAUAAGAUAUGAAGAAGCAACAUUUCUUUUAAGUACAUGUAUUAGGCGAGAAAUUAUAGCAGUUAAUUUAGCUUUAAUGUUAUACAAACCUGAUAACAGAUAAAUUAAAGAAUGGUUGUGCAAUAACCAGAAGAACCCAUUCACAUGGGAGCCUGAAACACACAUCAAAAUAACUCACGGGCCAAAGAAUCCAACAUCAAAAAUUAAGAAAUUUUUAAGAAUUGGACAUUAAUAAGAACUGCAUAUCAAAAGCUAUGGGCUGAGUGACUGGGUGACUCAGUUGGUUAACCCUGCAACUCUUGAUUUUGGCUUCAGUCAUGGUCUCAAGGAUCCUGGAAAAAGUGGGAAAGCUGCAAAAGCUAAAGCCUUAAAAUCUUUAUGUUGGAAAAGUAGGUUAAAUGAGCUAAGUAACCACCUCCAACAAAAUUCUCUCUCUUUUUUUUAAGAUUUUAUUUAUUUAUUCAUGAGAGACACAGUGAGAGAGGCAGAGAUACGGGCAGAGAGAAUCAGGCCCUCUGCAGGGAGCCCGAUGCAGGAGUCAAUCCCAGGACUCUGGGAUCACGCUCUGAGCCAAAGGCAGACGCUCAACUGCUGAGCUACCAGGCAUCCCUCCAAGAAAUUCUUUAAGGAUACUGUACCCGAAGAAGUCAGAAGAAAGAAAAAAAUAGAUAAGCACAAAUUAAUAAAGUAGAACAGAAAAGUAAUCACUCAAAAAUCAAAGCUACUUGCUUUCUUUGCAUUACCUAAUAAAAUUGAAAAUUCAGAUGUGGUUGAGCAAGAAAGAAAAAGGCAUUAAUAAAUAUUAGGAACAAAAAAUAAAUAAAUAAAUAAAUAAAUAAAUAAAUAAAUAAAUAAAUAUUAGGAACUAAAGAGAGUCACAAUGAGAGAUAGAGUGUAGAUAAUGGUAAGAGAAAAUCAUGAAUGAAUUUAUACCAACUAAUUAAAAACUGAGAUAUAUAGAUCAUUUUCUAGAAAUUAUUUAUUUCUGAUUAUAUUUAUCUUAUUUUCCAAUUGCACAAAAAACUUAACCAAAAAUGUAUUUUAAGAAAAACCAGAAACAAGAAUUGAUGUUUAACCAUUACAACUUUUUAAAAUCAAUAAAUAAAAGUCUAUUCCCUAAAUUGACUCCUGGAUAAGAUGUUUUAGGAGUUAAUUUUUACAAAAAUGAAGAAAUACAUUAUUCCCAUUUUAUACAUAAUAUUUCAGAAAGCAGAAGAAAUGAAGUGAGUCUCCUUAACUUACUUUCUGAAGUUAAUAAUGAAUUUAAUACCAGACCGGAAAAGAAUAGCACAAAAUUUAUUAUGCAAUCUCACUGAUUAAUAUAAACUCAAAAAUCCUGAAUAAAUAUUAGCAAACAAAAGUUAUCACUUUAUUAUUUUUAAAACCAUUAUGAUUGAGGUAGACUUAUCAGGAGAAUUCAUGGAUGGUUUAAGAUGAGAAAAAAACUAUAAAUGCAAUUUAUCACACAAACUAAUUUAAAGGAUAAGAACUUUCUAAAAUACCCAAAUAUACACAAAACAAGCAUUUGUUAAAAUCCUUUAUCUAUCUAAGAUUUGCAUAUACACAUACACACCAAGCAUAGAAAGCUAAACCUUAGCCUAUAAGGAUUAUCUAUUUAAUACUACAAACAACUUUAUGCUUAAUAGUGAAAUGUAGAGCCAUUAUUUUGCAAGUCAGGAACAAGGCAAAUAUGUGUCCAGUGCAAUAUCAAGAAGUAGAAAUAGCUCUAACAAAUGGUGAGCUAGCUCCUUUGGAGGGAAAAUAGAUUUUAUUGAAUAUUGCAGAGUAAAGAAAUAAAGCAAGUUCUUGGAUUGGAAGACAUGCUUUCACAAAGAUGUUAAUUAUUUUCAAAUUAAUAUAUAAAUUCCAUGCAAUUCUAAUAAAAAUCCUAUCAGUUUUUGGUAGAACUCAAAAUGCUCAUUCUAAAAUGUAUGUGGAAAGCAUAAGGCCAAACGACCCACAAAAACUAAAAAUUAAAAAAUAUUAAAACCACAUAAUUCUGAAUUAGAAUAGGGUAGAGGGACUCACCCUACCAGAUAUGCAUAUUUAUUAUAAAGUGAUAUCAAUUAAGAGAGUGUAUAUCCGUGCAUGGUAGGCAAAAGGCAAGUUCGGGAAAGAUAAUGUACCUGAUACUGAUAUUUAUAUUAUCCCUCAAACAAAAAUAAUAUUAUAUAUUUACAUGGAAGAAAAUGUGCAAUGAAAAUAUACAAAUAUUGGAACGCCCAGGUGGCUCAGUGGUUUAGCGCCUGCAUUCAGCCCAGGGCAUGGUCCUGGAGUCCCGGGAUCGAGUCCUACAUUGGGAUCCCUGCAUGGAGUCUGCUUCUCCUUCUGCCUGUGUCUCUGCCUCCUGUCUCUGUGUCUUUCAUGAGUAAAGAAAUUAAAUCUUAAAAAAAAGAAAAUAUACAAAUAUUAAUGCAAAUGUCAAUUAUCAGAGGUGCCUGGUGGCUUAGUUGGUUAAGUAUCUGCCUUCAGCUCAAGCCAUAAUCUCAGGGUGUUGGAGUGGAGCUGCAAGUCUGGCUUGCUGCUCAGUAGGGAGUCUCCUCCCUCCCCCAGCUCAUUUUCUCUCUCUCAAAAGAUGAAUAAAAUCUUAAAAAAAAAAGUGUCAAUGAUCAAAUUUCAGAAUUAUUAUUCCUCUAAAUGGGAAGAGAGAGAUACAGAACCACAGAGGAUACAGCUCCAAUUGUAAUAUUUUAUUUAAAAAAAAAAAUUCUAAAGCAGAGGUUCCUAGUUUUCCUA